GUUGUUGGGUAGGGGAGCGUUCUGUAAGCCUGUGAAGGUGUGCUGUGAGGCAUGCUGGAGGUAUCAGAAGUGCGAAUGCUGACAUAAGUAACGAUAAAGCGGGUGAAAAGCCCGCUCGCCGGAAGACCAAGGGUUCCUGUCCAACGUUAAUCGGGGCAGGGUGAGUCGACCCCUAAGGCGAGGCCGAAAGGCGUAGUCGAUGGGAAACAGGUUAAUAUUCCUGUACUUGGUGUUACUGCGAAGGGGGGACGGAGAAGGCUAUGUUGGCCGGGCGACGGUUGUCCCGGUUUAAGCGUGUAGGCUGGUUUUCCAGGCAAAUCCGGAAAAUCAAGGCUGAGGCGUGAUGACGAGGCACUACGGUGCUGAAGCAACAAAUGCCCUGCUUCCAGGAAAAGCCUCUAAGCAUCAGGUAACAUCAAAUCGUACCCCAAACCGACACAGGUGGUCAGGUAGAGAAUACCAAGGCGCUUGAGAGAACUCGGGUGAAGGAACUAGGCAAAAUGGUGCCGUAACUUCGGGAGAAGGCACGCUGAUAUGUAGGUGAAGUCCCUCGCGGAUGGAGCUGAAAUCAGUCGAAGAUACCAGCUGGCUGCAACUGUUUAUUAAAAACACAGCACUGUGCAAACACGAAAGUGGACGUAUACGGUGUGACGCCUGCCCGGUGCCGGAAGGUUAAUUGAUGGGGUUAGCCGCAAGGCGAAGCUCUUGAUCGAAGCCCCGGUAAACGGCGGCCGUAACUAUAACGGUCCUAAGGUAGCGAAAUUCCUUGUCGGGUAAGUUCCGACCUGCACGAAUGGCGUAAUGAUGGCCAGGCUGUCUCCACCCGAGACUCAGUGAAAUUGAACUCGCUGUGAAGAUGCAGUGUACCCGCGGCAAGACGGAAAGACCCCGUGAACCUUUACUAUAGCUUGACACUGAACAUUGAGCCUUGAUGUGUAGGAUAGGUGGGAGGCUUAGAAGUGUGGACGCCAGUCUGCAUGGAGCCGACCUUGAAAUACCACCCUUUAAUGUUUGAUGUUCUAACGUUGACCCGUAAUCCGGGUUGCGGACAGUGUCUGGUGGGUAGUUUGACUGGGGCGGUCUCCUCCUAAAGAGUAACGGAGGAGCACGAAGGUUGGCUAAUCCUGGUCGGACAUCAGGAGGUUAGUGCAAUGGCAUAAGCCAGCUUGACUGCGAGCGUGACGGCGCGAGCAGGUGCGAAAGCAGGUCAUAGUGAUCCGGUGGUUCUGAAUGGAAGGGCCAUCGCUCAACGGAUAAAAGGUACUCCGGGGAUAACAGGCUGAUACCGCCCAAGAGUUCAUAUCGACGGCGGUGUUUGGCACCUCGAUGUCGGCUCAUCACAUCCUGGGGCUGAAGUAGGUCCCAAGGGUAUGGCUGUUCGCCAUUUAAAGUGGUACGCGAGCUGGGUUUAGAACGUCGUGAGACAGUUCGGUCCCUAUCUGCCGUGGGCGCUGGAGAACUGAGGGGGGCUGCUCCUAGUACGAGAGGACCGGAGUGGACGCAUCACUGGUGUUCGGGUUGUCAUGCCAAUGGCACUGCCCGGUAGCUAAAUGCGGAAGAGAUAAGUGCUGAAAGCAUCUAAGCACGAAACUUGCCCCGAGAUGAGUUCUCCCUGACUCCUUGAGAGUCCUGAAGGAACGUUGAAGACGACGACGUUGAUAGGCCGGGUGUGUAAGCGCAGCGAUGCGUUGAGCUAACCGGUACUAAUGAACCGUGAGGCUUAACCUU
rnacentral:rRNA from 1 species